AGCCCAAAGGGUAGAUGGAGGAUUAUGAUAGAGUUUUACAAAGAGGAGUUUUGAACAGUAGAAAACAACUUAGCCUUCUACUUCUGACAGAUUAUUUGCCCCUUGGGUGGGAUGUAAGUGCCUGCAAGUUCAGGAUUGGUCCAUUCUCAUGACCCACAGGUGUCUUCCUCCUUGAUGUGUCAUGAAAAAUUAAAAUGAGGACAGUUCAGUCAACAGAGUGUCUGUGAAAUUAAUGAACCCCUUUGCCUUCAACACCUGGUAAUUAUAUCUUUCAAUUAAAUUAACUCUCUAGCUGUCUACAAUCUUAUAAAUUAACUCACAGUCUUAUAUCUUUCUAAGCAGCCAGAUCUUUUCACAACUCAAACCUGAGGGGCCAGAGAUACAAAGCAGGGUCAGGGAAGGCAAAUGAAAGGACCUCAUUCACUUUUCUGCUUGUCACAGAAAAACUUGAGUCUCUACUUUCUCAGCUUGGUCACUAGAGCCAAAAAGUCUCAGAUUAACAGACGUGUGUAGGAUUUCAGUCCCAUUUGAAUACACCCGAUGGAUGUACGACCUUGAGAAAUUUACUUAACACUUCCAGGUCAGCCCGGCGUGGUGGCUUAUGCCUGUAUUUCCAGCACUUGGGGAGGCCAAGCCGGGUGGAUCACGAGGUCAGGAGUCCGAGACCAGCCUGGCCAACAUGGUGAAAACCUGUCUCUACUAAAGAUACAAAAAUUAUCUGGGUGUGGUGGUGGGCGCCUGCAAUUCCAGCUACUCGGGAGGCUGAGGCAGGAGAAUCAUUUGAACCUGGGAGGCAGAGGUUGCAGUGAGCCAAGAUCACACCAUUGCACUCCAGCGGGGGCAACAGGGCUAGACUGCCUCUCAAAACAAACAAACAAACAAACAAACAAACAAAAACAUUUCGGGGUCAAAUGUUUGUCACCUAAAAACAAAGCCAUUGAGCAUAAGAAGAACAUAAUGGACUUUGGGGACUCAGGAGGAAAGUGUGGGAAGGGGAUGAGGGAUAAAAGACGACAAAUAUGGUGCUGUGUAUACUGCUCUGGUGAUGGGUGCACCAAAAUCUCACAAAUCACCACAAAAGAACUUACUCAUGUAACCAAAUACCACCUGUUUCCCAAUAACCUAUGGAAAUAAAAAAAAUUUUAAAAAAACCAAAGCCAUUGAGUAAGAUAUUUGCUUUCAUUUACAUCUAAUAUUCAGAGUAAAAGAGUCUAUAAACCGAAUACUACCUAACACUGCAGAAUUAAACUAUGUUCACGUAACUAAUCUUCAACAUUCCCUAAUCCUCCAUCCUACAAACAACACUCCUGUCCAUGUAGCUUAACAAUAUUGGCUGAAUUAAUUAUCAGAAGAUAGUAUAGUAUGCAAUAAAAACAAUGCUCAUGAUUCUUCAGGCUUUCUGCAUCCACAGCCUUUAAAAUUUGGCUCUGUUUCUCUAAUUCUUGAAUCUGGACAACUAGAGUUGUCACCUGUUUUGACCAAUAGGUUGCCGUAGAAUUGACAUGCUGUGACUUCCAUAACCCACUCACCAAAAGAUGUUGUGUGUUUCCACUCUCUCUCCUGGAAACCAGACAAGUGCCAGGAUAAUCAGAUAAGUCUGGUGGACUGGAGAAGAAGAGACCACAUAUAACAGAACUGAACCAUUCCAGCUGAAGGCAUCUUAGAUAAACUAGCCCUCAGGCAAUCUAGCAGUUGACCACAAUUGCAUGAGCGAACUCAGAGGAGAUCAGAAGAGCUUCUCAACAGAGCCCAGAGUAAAUCAUUGACUCAGAGAAUUGUGAGAUAACUUAAAGAUGCUGCUUAAUGCCCCGAAGUUGGAGUGUUUUGUUACACACCAAAAGUCAACUGAUACAUGGAGCUGUCUACUUGACUUUUUUAAAAUGAAAAUCUUCACACAUUUCAAGACUCCUAUCUGAUUCAGUUUUUUCAAUAAUGUCUGCUCUAGUAAUUUCAAUCUACAUUGAACAUAUUCAUUUAUUUAUUGGACAAACAUUUUGUAACUGUUCAUUAGGUUUUCUUUUUUACUUGCACUAUACUUUUGUCCUUUAUCACAUUAAAUACUGCCUACAUUAGAUUAUCUGUUAGCAUCUUACCAUAUAUUAGGCCAUUUUCUGUCUCAUAGCAAGUAGAAGGCUAAAAUCCACAUUUCCUAGACUUCUUUAUCAUCCC
rnacentral:lncRNA from 1 species